UCGUGGCUGCCCCCGCGCCCCCACCCUCUGGGGGACCCCGAGGGCUGGAGCGGCUGCGCAGGGUGUGCAGGACCCAGUGCUCUGCGCGCGUAUCUGAGGGUGGCCUGGGGCCCGGCAGGUGGAUUCCUCACCCCCAAUCUGGGAUGGAGGCCGCUGGGCCCACGCGGGGGAAAACCUGGUUUUGGGGACCCCCCAAAUUGAUGCCGGGAUUCUUGUUCACGGAGCCGAAGAAUGAACUUCGCAACACUCAAGAUGUUCCCUCUGCUGGUGGCCAAUGGGAAGGGCCAGCCGGCCUCCCUGGCAGGAGCCCAAUUUGGAGGCUCGGUGUCUUUGAUUGGAUUAUGUUCAAGGAUACACAGCCUCUUGUCUUUUAAGUACAUUUAAGAGUUCAUUUCCCAGCUCUGACAAUUCAGCUAGGCAGUUUCAACAGGGAGACACUUAUUUCUGCUAAUGUUUAACUAUAAACUAAUGUGAGAAGAAUUGGCUCAAUAUUGUGGAGAAGGAGAGCUGGAAGGCAAGACGGAGACCUCCUCCCACACUCACACCAAGGAAGCAAUUACAGCAAACACAACUAACCUGGAAAACUGCAGGACAGACCUGAAGACUGCAGGACAGACCACCUACAUCUGGGGAAGGAGAGGAGCCACGCAGAAAAGGGUAAAGUGGCAGAUCCACAAUCAAGUGGGACCCCAGCCCUUCCCCCAUCCCAGCCUACAGGCAGCAGGAAGAGGAACAGCGGGAGGGGACAGGUGCCCAGGAACUCUGCACACCUGGCCCUGGAGAUAUGCUCCAGGAACAUGAGUCCACAUUGCAUUGGUUUCUGGUGAUUAGCAGACUGGACACAAGGGACAGGUGGAACACUCUGGGAGGCUGAGACCCCAGCUGCAUGUGGAGGACAGGCACACUCCCCUUUUCCCACUGAGACCCAACACAGAGGCAGCAGUUUGAGAGACGUGCCCGCAGCGGGAGGGGAGUCAGAGGAGUGAGGGUUGAACAGAGCUCUCUCUGCAGGAGAAAGGGCAGGUGGACAAUACCUCCCCAGCCCUCCCUUGUCUCAACAGCUCAGGCGCUCUCGGGAGCCCCAGACACCCCAUCCCCUCACUGCCAGCUCAGCCUGGCCGCUGCCAGGAGCCAUUUAUAAGAAGUGCGCUGCAUCUGCCCCCUCCCGCCGUCUUCCCAGCCUGGCUAAUCUAAUCGCGUUUUCCAGGCUGCAAUUAAUAACCCCCAAGCAGCUCCAAAAUGAGGCUCUCAUAAAGGGCCAGCAGCUCCCGUCGGCGGGGAAGGGGCCCAUGCUUUCCCAGAGCCUGCCAAGGGGGAGAUGGCCCCUGGGGAACACAGCGGGGUGCAGCCCUACUUCCAGGCUGUGCGACCUUGGGCCAGCAGCCUGCCGUCUCUGAGCCAUGGGUAUCCCCUCUGAAAAUGCGGGGCCCACGAGGCCUACUGCAAACCUCCAUAUCUGCAUCUUCCCCCAUUGCCCAGGUGGGGAAACUGAGUCUCAGAAAGGGGUGGGAGCAAACGAGACAUUGUACAUAUGCUGCUGCCCCCACCGGCAUCCCCGCUCAGUUCCCCACACCCUUUCUGCCCUGUCUGAGGAACCUCUGUCCUAACCCCACAGUAUUUCCCCCCCAACUCAGACACCCAGGCCUUACCCCACUUCCUUGUCACCUUCAGGGUCCAGGUCAGGGCUGCAAGGGUGAGAGGCAACUGAUGGAGCAGCUGAGCCCUUGGCCAGUUGCCAAGGAGAUGGUCCUAGGGUACUAGGGGUGGGCCGGGC